GAUAUACUGCAUGAUUUAAAUUAUUGAAUAAGGCCUGGAUCCAUUUGGUUGGUACAAUAAAUAAAUCUCAGUAGAGAGCAGGAUCCUUGAUCUUUUUAGGUAUAUUUACUUUUUAGGUAUAUUUUAUACCAUUGGGCUAAUUUUCAGAUCAUGUCAUCUCGUUUCGAUCUAUUUUUGUUGAAGAAAAACCAAGAAGAGGGGAGGAGCGAAAUAAUGAGGAGGAGAGGUCACGAGUGUUGACAGAAGAACAAAGAACUCGGCAAUGACAGCGUGACCUUGUACUCACCGAGGAGCAAAGAGUGCGAAAAAGACAGACAAGCUCCGAGUACAGGUUAAGUAGUAAGCAAAGAGUCCGAAAAAAGCAAAAGGACUCGGAGUACGAACUAGAUGACGAGCAGAGAGCUCGUAAGAGGCAGAGAAACUUAGAAACACUCAACGCCCAGCGUACAAUGAUGGCAGAAGACAGCUUGUUUGCUCAAAGGCAAAGAGAAAGGGCUCGUGAGCGACAGAGGGCAUCUAGACUCAGGGGAUAAAACAACAGAGGCAGCCCUCCACUACUACCGCUUUUGUUGAGAAGAACAACAACAAGAUAAGAAGAGGUGAUGCAUCUGUAGGUGGCGGCAGUGGUGGGGCCAAGCAGUUUGUCUUCCACAUAUAUUGAUUUCCAUAUUUAGGGGAGUGCUUUUGGUGCCUCCUCUAAAUAUGGAAAUUAAUUGUUACGUGGUAGACAAACUGUUGUCUCUUUAUUAAUACAUGUUUUAACAUUUAUUAUUUGAUAUAAUAAUAAUUAUGUAUUAAUAAGGAGACAACAGUUUGUACAAUGAUAAUAAAAACAAGCAUUAUUUGAAAGGCACCAAUUUGUUAAUAAAAGUAUUUAUUGUCA